GACGCCGAAGUCCCGGGAAAAGGAAGGGCGCCAUUUGAUUUCACAGCAAACGGGCGGUGACACCGACUUCCCGGGAAAGGGAAAGGCGCCAUUUGAUUUCACAGAAAACGGAAACGCAGUGAUGAAGCCCAGCGCCUGGCCCUCGCCCUCCCUCCACGUCUGUCUCGGGGGCGCCCUCCCCUCGCAGGAGCCAGGGCACGCGGGCCUUCAACCGCCGAGGCCCCCGCCGCCCUUCUGGACUUUUAUCGAGGCAUGUACACUAAUACGAAAGAGAAUUUGCCAUUUACCUGUAAGAUUGAGGGUGACAACGUAAGAGGAAUGGUUUUAAGUGACGCGUCCGGCUCCUUACUCCCACUGAAGGGUGAAGGUGCCACAGGUGGACCUGGUUUGGAUUCUGAUGUGAAGAAACCGACUUCAAAACAUUUGGGCCAAUCAGGAAAAUGCGAAAACUCUGACUACAAAUUUAAUGAUAUCUAGAAUUAUUGUUAAUAGUUUAAGAUGGAGUCUUGCCCUGUCACCCAGGCUAGAGUGCAGUGGUGCAAUCUCGGCUCACUACAGCCUCCACCUCCAGGGUUCAAGCAAUUCUCAUGCCUCAGCCUCCCAAGUAGCUGGGAUUACAGGUGAUAGAGGCUAUGUUCCUAAGUGAAGAAUGAAGUAGUGGCAGUUCCAUCAGAUGCUUAGAGCCAGAGACAGUCCUAAGCAAACACCUGGAAAAGAAAUCCGGUGAGAAAUUCCAAGCAAUAGGAAUUUUCUCUGAAGAUCACUUGGAAGUGCCCCAUGAGAAAAACCACUAGCUUCAAACCCCUGCCAAGCCCAGAGAAUGCCUUACACUGAAAUAGAUCAUCAUAAAAUUAAUAGCUCCAGCUUCAGCAGCCCCAAACGCGGGGAGGGAGACCUUAAAUGAAGAUUGAAGCUUUGGUCAUUAUGUUAUACGAGACUGGCCAUAUUAGUUACUGAACAGACUGUCUUCAUAACCAGAGGCUGUUUAUUAUCUGAGAAUGCCCAGGGCAGGAGAAGAACCAACCCCAACAGAACAGCCCCUCAAACACUGCCUGGCUCAGAGUUGGCGCUUGUUAAAAUUUUGAGGAAGCAAGCAAGCAAGCACAUGGGAGGAUACCAAAACAUGGCAGUAAAAGGAGCUAAACACACAAAAGAAAAGACAGAGUUCUGCUCUUGUUGCCCAAGCUGGAGUGCAGUGGCGUGAUCUCAGCUCACCGCAACCUCCGCCUUCCAGAUUCAAGCGAUUCUCCUGCCUCAGCCUCCUGAGUAGCUGGAAUUACAGGACUCCAUCACCAUGCCCGGCUAACUUUGUAUUUUUCAGUAGAGACGGGGUUUCUCCAUGUUGAUCAGGCUGGUCUCAAACUCCCAGCCUCAGGUGAUCUGCCCACCUCGGCCUCCCAAAGUGCUGGGAUUAUAGGCAUGAGCCACCGCACAUGGCCCAACACCUAAUAUUUCUAUAAACUUUCCAUUUUAAAUGUUGGGGCUUUUUUCUUCAUUUAUUGCACAUGCUGGGAGAGGAAGGAGUCAAGCACCAGGAUAUAAAAUUGUGCUCUUCCAUGGUCAUUCAGACAGAAUCAAGAAUCCAGGUUCUAAAUGUCUUUAAGUUCAGAAUCCAGAUCAGGGUCAGAAGAGGUUGACAGCUGCUGCUAGGGGCUGGGGGCUGCAGAGACAACAGCAGACAACAGGCAUGCAGCUGACCGUG
rnacentral:lncRNA from 10 species